rnacentral:ribozyme from 13 species
AAAAGAAGAAGGAAGAAUAAAAGGGGAGAAAAGAAAGAAACAGAAGAGAAGAAUUUUUUUCUCUCUUCUUUGCUUCUUCUAUCUUCCUCCCUUUCUUUUUCCCACUUCUUCAUCAGGGAGACAUGAUGAAUCGUUGAGAAAUGAGCCCACUUCAUCACUCCAAAGACCAAACUUCUUCAUGGCCGCUUUUUUUGUUUUGUGACCGUUCAAAAAAUUAAAGUGAAUUCCAAAUUGUUGUUUUUGUAUUUUUGAUGUUUUAAUCUGUAAAGGAAAAGAAA